UACAGAGGUCUCAAGCGUUGUUCGGAUUCAUUGGGCGUAAAGGGUGCGUAGGCGGCGCGGUAAGUCGGGUGUGAAAUCUCGGAGCUUAACUCCGAAACUGCAUUCGAUACUGGGUAGCUAGAGUCUGGUAGGGGGAUCUGGAAUUCCUGGUGUAGCGGUGGAAUGCGCAGAUAUCAGGAAGAACACCGGUGGCGAAGGCGGCUCUCUGGGCCUUACCUGACGCUGAGGAGCGAAAGCGUGGGUAGCGAACAGG
rnacentral:rRNA from 1 species